UUCAUUCGUUCGUACACUCAAGACUGGUUGCUUCUUUGUUUCUAAAACUAGUUUCUUGCGCUUCUAUGUAACUUGGGGUGAAGUUACGUGUUUGCAAGCGGACAUGUAAGCCCGGCAGUUGGGUUUCGGUCGUGAGCCAUUCGGAACAGGUCUGCAUCGAAACGGGAGCUGGAUUUUGCUGCGGCUGACAACGGCAAUAACGACAUGCAGUAAUGAGGACGGCACCAGUAUAAAGCAACACACUCCACGCACUAAACAGAAGCUGCUGCCUGCUACGACAAGGUCAUUGUGUGGACAUUGGCUACUACUACAAGAGUCUAUGCCAAGCACAUCUUGGUCAUCACAGGAGCUCCUAUCUGCACCAACAGGAAGGGGCUGGAGCCGAAUUUGCAAGGCUUUUACACCAAGAACAAAGAAGCACAUGCACAAGAAUAUGGAUGAGAUAUCAAGUCUGCAAAGGACUGUGUUAAGACUGCAAAGAGCUUCAGCCACCAUUCCACCAGCACGGACAUUUGGCUGA